UGGGGAAUAUUGCACAAUGGGCGCAAGCCUGAUGCAGCCAUGCCGCGUGUGUGAAGAAGGCCUUCGGGUUGUAAAGCACUUUCAGCGAGGAGGAAGGUGGUGAGCUUAAUACGCUCAUCAAUUGACGUUACUCGCAGAAGAAGCACCGGCUAACUCCGUGCCAGCAGCCGCGGUAAUACGGAGGGUGCAAGCGUUAAUCGGAAUUACUGGGCGUAAAGCGCACGCAGGCGGUUUGUUAAGUCAGAUGUGAAAUCCCCGGGCUCAACCUGGGAACUGCAUUUGAAACUGGCAAGCUAGAGUCUCGUAGAGGGGGGUAGAAUUCCAGGUGUAGCGGUGAAAUGCGUAGAGAUCUGGAGGAAUACCGGUGGCGAAGGCGGCCCCCUGGACGAAGACUGACGCUCAGGUGCGAAAGCGUGGGGCAGCAAACAGGAUUAGAUACCCUGGUAGUCCACGCUGUAAAACGAUGUCGAUUUUGGAGGUUGUGCCCUUGAGGCGUGGCUUCCGGAGCUAACGCGUUAAAUCGACCGCCUGGGGAGUACGGCCGCAAGGUUAAAACUUAAAGAAAUUGACGGGGUC
rnacentral:rRNA from 1 species